CCUACGCGCGGCAGCAGUGAGGAAUAUUGGUCAAUGGGAGAGAUCCUGAACCAGCCAAGCCGCGUGAGGGAAGACGGCCCUAUGGGUUGUAAACCUCUUUUGUCGGAGAACAAAACCCGGGACGUGUCCCGGCCUGCGUGUAUCCGAAGAAAAAGCAUCGGCUAACUCCUUGCCAGCCGCCGCGGUAAUACGGAGGAUGCGAGCGUUAUCCGGUUUUAUUGGGUUUAAAGGGGGCGUAGGCGGUCCGUUAAGUCAGCGGUAAAAUUGGGGGGCUGAAACCCGUCGAGCCGUUGAAACUGGCAGACUUGAGUUGGCGAGAGGUGCGCGGAAUGCGCGGUGUAGCGGUGAAAUGCAUAGAUAUCGCGCAGAACUCCGAUUGCGAAGGCAGCGUACCGGCGCCAGACUGACGCUGAGGCACGAAAGCGUGGGGAUCGAACAGGAUUAGAUACCCCGGUAGUC
rnacentral:rRNA from 1 species